UACCUAAUCCACACUAGCAGCAAUGGUACAUGCAUUUCCACCAAAAAAUAAUUAAAAAACCUUACCUCAUCACACCUGGCAGCAAUGAUGCAUGCCUUGCCACCAAAGUAUAAUUAAAAAAACAAAAAUCUGGAACAUGUUUGCCCCUGUUUGAUGCCAGCUUGCCCGUUGCUUUUCUUCUUUUGCACAGCCUUCCCAUGCGUUCUCCACUGUUUUGCCACGUGUCGAUCAUCGUGUAUAAGUUCUCUUCAAUUGCAUCUCUCCGAAUCUCCUUCAGUUUCCAGUUGUUUUCCUUUUCUCAACCUUUGGUUUCCGAUCUUCUCAUCUUUCUCAUUUUGCUUAGCCAAAUCAUUUGUGCAAAUUUCUUGCGUUUAAAACCCUUGGAAAAAUAAAUAGUUGCUGCAUCUUCCGUUUAAAAUCCCUGGGUCAGUACUCAUUUUGUUGGUUUUUGGAUUUCAUCAGGGUGGAUUUGUUAUCUCCAAGGUCCACCUCUGUUUGUGUUUUCAGGAUCUACAGUUGCAAUGCCUUUGAUGGAUAAAACAUAGAGGACCCAGCUACUCUUAUAGAGCUUCUUUAGCAUCGUAAUGCUAUUCAGAGUGGUUCAAAGAAUUUCAAGAGCCUCGUUCAUCCAAUUUAUGCUCUUCAUGUAAAAAUUCUUUCAAUAAGUUCAAACAUCUUUCGGUGUAGAUAACAUUAACAUUUUGUAACAAUAUAUUAUAGCUUUGAAACAUUUUUUUCA